GCCUCCGCCACUACCAUCUCCUCCACUUGCUCGAGUGCCACCAUCUAUUCCACCCACUCUAUCACGACCACGAUUUCCAUCUGAACUCUUUUUAGCACCACUCUUUUCACCCGAAAGUGCAGACAAAAAACUUCCCAUGUCUAUAUGUUGUUGGCUUGAAUUAAGUCUUGGUUUCCUAUGAAGCUUCUCUCUAUAUAUACUCUCUGUCCCAAAUUAUAAUAAUCAGUUGAUCACUGCAUAUACACCAAUGCAUAACUUUAAUUACGAAUAUUUUUAAUUGACGAUUAGUAAAAAUUAUAAAAAUUUGAUAUUUUGAAAAUACUCGUCGAAACAAAUCAAACAAGAUUUUAUAUGAUAAUAUUUAAAUUUAUAUAAUUUUAAAAAAAUACGGUCAAAACAAGAUAUAUAAAUAGUGCAUUUAGUCAAAUGAGGUAAGGUAGUAUUAUUCUAUGCAAUUACGUACAUACGGGAAUUAUUUAUCAGCCGCCAUAUGACGUUAUAAACAUAUGGGAACUAUUUGUCAGUCAUAUAA
rnacentral:lncRNA from 1 species